AUACAACAUAUUGUAUAUAUUGCC
rnacentral:sRNA from 1 species